rnacentral:rRNA from 1 species
UACGUAGGGCGCAAGCGUUAUCCGGAAUUAUUGGGCGUAAAGAGCUCGUAGGCGGUUUGUCGCGUCGGCCGUGAAAUCUCCACGCUUAACGUGGAGCGUGCGGUCGAUACGGGCAGACUUGAGUUCGGUAGGGGAGACUGGAAUUCCUGGUGUAGCGGUGAAAUGCGCAGAUAUCAGGAGGAACACCGAUGGCGAAGGCAGGUCUCUGGGCAUUAACUGACGCUGAGGAGCGAAAGCAUGGGGAGCGAACAGG